rnacentral:tRNA from 1 species
GCCCUGGUAGCUCAGCUGGAUAGAGCAACGGACUUCUAAUCCGUAGGUCUCAGGUUCGAAUCCUGAUCAGGGCGCCA